rnacentral:rRNA from 1 species
AUUGAACGCUGGCGGCAGGCUUAACACAUGCAAGUCGAGCGGGGUGAUGGUGCUUGCACUAUCACUUAGCGGCGGAAGGGUGAGUAAUGCUUAGGUAUCUGCCUAUUAGAGGGGGACAACAUAACGAAAGGGAUGCUAAUACCGCAUACGUCCUACGGGACAAAGCAGGGGCUCACUUGUGACCUUGCGCUAAUAGAUGAGCCUAAGUCGGAUUAGCUAGUUGGUGGGGUAAAGGCCGACCAAGGCGACGAUCUGUAGCGGGUCUGAGAGGAUGAUCCGCCACACUGGGACUGAGACACGGCCCAGACUCCUACGGGAGGCAGCAGUGGGGAGUAUUGGACAAUGGGGGGAACCCUGAUCCAGCCAUGCCGCGUGUGUGAAGAAGGCCUUAUGGUUGUAAAGCUCUUUAAGCGAGGAGGAGGCUCUUUUGGUUAAUACCCAAGAUGAGUGGACGUUACCCGCAGAAUAAGCACCGGCUAACUCUGUGCCAGCAGCCGCCGUAA